rnacentral:rRNA from 1 species
AUUGAACGCUGGCGGCGGGCCUAACACAUGCAAGUCGAACGAGUGGCGGACGGGUGAGUAAUUUAUGGGAAACUGCCUGAUGUACGGGGAUAACUACUGGAAACGGUAGAUACUACCGCAUACCAUCCUCUGUGCCCAGAUGGGAUUAGCUAGUGGGUGGGGUAAAGGCUCACCUAGGCGACGAUCCCUAGCUGGUCUGAGAGGAUGACCGGCCACACUGGAACUGAGACACGGUCCAGACUCCUACGGGAGGCAGCAGUGGGGAAUAUUGCACAAUGGGCGAAAGCCUGAUGCAGCCAUGCCGCGUGUAUGAAGAAGGCCUUCGGGUUGUAAAGUACUUUCAGCGGGGAGGCGUUACCCGCAGAAGAAGCACCGGCUAACUCCGUGCCAGCAGCCGCGGUAAUUC